GUAGGUGGCAAGCGUUGUCCGGAAUUAUUGGGGCGUAAAGCGCGCGCAGGCGGUUCUUUAAGUCUGAUGUGAAAGCCCACGGGCUCAACCGUGGAGGGUCAUUGGAAACUGGAGAACUUGAGUACAGAAGAGGAAAGCGGAAUUCCACGUGUAGCGGUGAAAUGCGUAGAGAUGUGGAGGAGCACCAGUGGCGAAGGCGGCUUUCUGGUCUGUAACUGACGCUGAGGCGCGAAAGCGUGGGGAGCAAACAGGAUUAGAUACCCUGGUAGUCAACGCCGUAAACGAUGAGUGCUAAGUGUUAGGGGGUUUCCGCCCCUUAGUGCUGCAGCUAACGCAUUAAGCACUCCGCCUGGGGAGUACGGCCGCAAAGGCUG
rnacentral:rRNA from 1 species